GACAGAGGGGGCAAGCGUUGCUCGGAAUUACUGGGCGUAAAGGGCGCGUAGGCGGGAUGGCAAGUCGGUCGUGAAAUCCCUCGGCUCAACCGAGGAACGUCGAUCGAUACUGCUGUUCUUGAGGAUUGCAGAGGAGACUGGAAUUCCCGGUGUAGCGGUGAAAUGCGUAGAUAUGCGGAGGAACACCGAUGGCGAAGGCAAUCCCCUGGGCCUGCACUGACGCUCAUGCACGAAAGCGUGGGGAGCAAACAGG
rnacentral:rRNA from 1 species